rnacentral:rRNA from 1 species
AACGAACGCUGGCGGCGUGCCUAACACAUGCAAGUCGAGCGGGAAAGUUCCCUUCGGGGAGCGAGUACAGCGGCGAACGGGUGAGUAACACGUAGGUAACCUACCCUGGAGACUGGGAUAACUUGCCGAAAGGCGGGCUAAUACCAGAUAAGACCACGAGGGCUGCGGCCCUUGAGGCAAAAAGUGGCCUCUACUUGUAAGCUACUACUCCGGGAUGGGCCUGCGCGCCAUUAGCUAGUUGGCGGGGUAACGGCCCACCAAGGCAGAGAUGGCUAGCUGGUCUGAGAGGAUGGCCAGCCACACUGGGACUGAGACACGGCCCAGACUCCUACGGGAGGCAGCAGUGGGGAAUAUUGCGCAAUGGGCGAAAGCCUGACGCAGCGACGCCGCGU